AAUGAACGCUGGCGGCGUGCCUAACACAUGCAAGUCGGAUGUGCCGCAAGGUGCAUGGCAGACGGGUGAGUAACGCGUAGGGAAUCUACCUUUUUGUGGGGAAUAACGCUCCGAAAGGAGUGGUAAUACCGCAUGAGACCGUGAGCUGGGAUGUUCACGGUGAAACCUGGGGACCGCAAGGCCUGGGGCCAAAAGAGGAUCCUGCGUCUGAUUAGCUAGUUGGCGGGGUAAUGGCCCACCAAGGCGACGAUCAGUAGCCGGCCUGAGAGGGUGAUCGGCCACACUGGAACUGAGACACGGUCCAGACUCCUACGGGAGGCAGCAGUGGGGAAUUUUGCGCAAUGGACGAAAGUCUGACGCAGCAACGCCGCGUGGGUGAUGAAGGUCUUCGGACUGUAAAACCCUGUCGUCAGGGACGAAGGUGGCAGUGUUAAUAGCGCUGUUACUUGACGGUACCUGGAGAGGAAGCCCCGGCUAACUCUGUG
rnacentral:rRNA from 1 species